rnacentral:rRNA from 1 species
CCUACGGGAGGCAGCAGUGGGGAAUUUUGGACAAUGGGCGAAAGCCUGAUCCAGCCAUGCCGCGUGCAGGACGAAGGCCUUCGGGUUGUAAACUGCUUUUGUUAGGAACGAAAAGCCAUCGAAUAACACUCGGUGGUGCUGACGGUACCUAAAGAAUAAGCACCGGCUAACUACGUGCCAGCAGCCGCGGUAAUACGUAGGGUGCAAGCGUUAAUCGGAAUUACUGGGCGUAAAGCGUGCGCAGGCGGUUAUGUAAGACAGAUGUGAAAUCCCCGGGCUCAACCUGGGAACUGCAUUUGUGACUGCAUAGCUAGAGUGUGUCAGAGGGGGGUAGAAUUCCACGUGUAGCAGUGAAAUGCGUAGAGAUGUGGAGGAAUACCAAUGGCGAAGGCAGCCCCCUGGGAUAACACUGACGCUCAUGUACGAAAGCGUGGGGAGCAAACAGGAUUAGAUACCCUGGUAGUCCACGCCCUAAACGAUGUCUACUAGUUGUUGGGGUCUUCGGACCUUAGUAACGCAGCUACGCGNGAGUAGACGCCGCGGAGGUACGGUCGGUCGAGAAGUUAAACGUUAACUAAUUAGUUAAGUUAGUUAGGCGNGAGAGNGCGACGGACGACGACGAGGGAGGAGG